rnacentral:rRNA from 1 species
AUGCAAGUCGAGCGAUGAGUUUCCUUCGGGAAACGGAUUAGCGGCGGACGGGUGAGUAACACGUGGGUAACCUGCCUCAUAGAGUGGAAUAGCCUUCCGAAAGGAAGAUUAAUACCGCAUAAUGUUGAAAGAUGGCAUCAUCAUUCAACCAAAGGAGCAAUCCGCUAUGAGAUGGACCCGCGGCGCAUUAGCUAGUUGGUGGGGUAACGGCCUACCAAGGCGACGAUGCGUAGCCGACCUGAGAGGGUGAUCGGCCACAUUGGGACUGAGACACGGCCCAGACUCCUACGGGAGGCAGCAGUGGGGAAUAUUGCACAAUGGGGGAAACCCUGAUGCAGCAACGCCGCGUGAGUGAUGAAGGUUUUCGGAUCGUAAAGCUCUGUCUUUGGGGAAGAUAAUGACGGUACCCAAGGAGGAAGCCACGGCUAACUACGUGCCAGCAGCCGCGGUAAUACGUAGGUGGCGAGCGUUAUCCGGAUUUACUGGGCGUAAAGGGAGCGUAGGCGGAUGAUUAAGUGGGAUGUGAAAUACCCGGGCUCAACU